AUUGAACGCUGGCGGCAGGCCUAACACAUGCAAGUCGAACGGUAACAGGAAGCAGCUUGCUGCUUUGCUGACGAGUGGCGGACGGGUGAGUAAUGUCUGGGAAACUGCCCGAUGGAGGGGGAUAACUACUGGAAACGGUAGCUAAUACCGCAUAACGUCGCAAGACCAAAGAGGGGGACCUUAGGGCCUCUUGCCAUCGGAUGUUCCCAGAUGGGAUUAGCUAGGAGGUGGGGUAACGGCUCACCUAGGCGACGAUCCCUAGCUGGUCUGAGAGGAUGACCAGCCACCCUGGAACUGAGACACGGUCCAGACUCCUGAGGGAGGCAGCAGUGGGGAACAUUGCACAAUGGGCGCAAGCCUGAUGCAGCCAUGCCGCGUGUAUGAAGAAGGCCUUCGGGUUGUAAAGUACUUUCAGCGGGGAGGAAGGGAGUAAAGUUAAUACCUUGGCUCAUUGACGUUACCCGCAGAAGAAGCACCGGCUAACUCCGUG
rnacentral:rRNA from 1 species